rnacentral:rRNA from 1 species
UACAGAGGGGGCAAGCGUUGUUCGGAUUUACUGGGCGUAAAGGGCGCGUAGGCGGCGUGUUAAGUCACUUGUGAAAUCUCUAAGCUUAACUUAGAACGGUCAAGUGAUACUGAUGUGCUAGAGUGCAGAAGGGGCAACCGGAAUUCUUGGUGUAGCGGUGAAAUGCGUAGAUAUCAAGAGGAACACCUGAGGUGAAGACGGGUUGCUGGGCUGACACUGACGCUGAGGCGCGAAAGCUAGGGUAGCAAACGGG